rnacentral:lncRNA from 1 species
GUUCAUGUAAUAUAGCAUGACAUUGAAUGCAAUGAAAUACAUAAAAUACAGCGAGAUAUAUUAAAAUACCGAGAACAACAAGUUACAUUGAGAUACAAUGAAAGCCACAUGUAUUAUAUCAGGUCAUUUCGAGUCCUUUUUCUUGUUGGCCAUUAUUAGACCGCCACGGCUCCACCGACACCAAACUGAUAAGAUAAUUUUUUUACAAUUUUACAAUUGAAGGAAUUGGCAUCUCUCGGACUAAAAUCCUAGAGAGGAAAAAGGAAAUUUGAUUGUAUUCAGAGAGUUGAAUUUCGAAUAGCGCCGGUGAAAAUUCCUCCGCCAUUCUCCGUUGCCGGCUUCGACGAGCUUAAAUUAUAAGUAGGCCAUGAGAUCUGAAGCUGGUAUUGGCGUUGGGAAAUUAUGGUCGGCGUUAAUAAAUUAUAAGUAGGCCAUCAUACAAAGGGCUAGCCAAAUAUCUUCUGCGAAGCUGGUAUUCGAAGUAGGCCAUGAGAUCUGAUUCGUUAAAACAACUGAAAUUUUCAUGAGAAAGAUUGGAGUCAAGAGAAAAAAACGGUGGAGAAAAAUCUGAAAAAAUGAGAGAGAAAAAUAAUAUAAAGUGUAUUUUAUGGCUUAAGGGCAUGAGGU